AUCUGUUUCUCGACUCUGUUGUCGAAGGUAAACUCUAUUGAACUAUCUUCUCCGGUUUAGAGGCUCUCGCUCGGUUUGGUCAAAUGGAGCAACCCUCCCACCUACCGGAGAAGUCGCGCGAUAGCUGCAGUUUCAGCAAAGCCCUGUCACGAGUGUUAUCUGUGUAGUAGAGUCACCGGCCGCCGACUCCACUCGGUCCCCCGCAUUUGUUACGGGUUACGUCAGCAAUGAGUGGUGCCAUUCAUUUUAAAAACUGCGGCUCCGUGCUGGUAACGGGAGCCAGCCGAGGUCUCGGGCUGCAGAUAGUCGACAGCCUGGCGAGUGGAGGUUUCUCCCCCGGCAAGAUAAUAGCCACGACCAGGAACCCCGCGAGCACGCAAAACCUUCAGGAACUGGCAGAGAAACACCCCAACAUCCACAUCAUCACCUUGGUGAACCAGGAGAGCAUAGAGAAGUCUGUGGAAGAGGUGGGCCAACUGGUACAAGAAGAGGGUCUGAACUGCCUGAUCAACAAUGCAGGGAUCAAUGUGGUGGCCGACUUUCAAUCCGUUACAGCAGAGAUGAUGAUAGAAAACUUCCACACCAAUGCUGUGGCUCCUCUAAUGAUCACCAAGGCCUUCCAGCCUCUGUUGAAACAAGCUGCGUCGAAAGGAGGAGCAGGUGGCGCAGGGCGCAUGGGCAUCCAGAGGGCAGCGGUCAUUAACAUGACCUCUCUGCUGGGUUCUGUGGAGCUCAACUGGGGAGAACCGGCCAACAACUUCAAAUGGUACCCCUACAGGACUUCCAAGAGCGCCCUCAACAUGGUAAGUCGCUGCAUGGCUGUAGACCUGGAGCCUGACGGGAUUCUCUGUAUGGCUAUACAUCCUGGCUGGGUCCGCACUGACAUGGGGGGGUCAGAGGCUCCGCUGCGUCCAGAGGAGAGCGUUUCUUCUCUCCUGUCUGUGAUUGGUGGACUGACUGAAAAGGAUCACGGGUCAUUUCUGAACUUUACAGGAGAGACUUUGCCUUGGUGACCCAUAUUAUAAGCACUUCUAACGGAUCCUAAUAGCUUUUUAUUCAGGUUAUGAACACCUUCUACUAGUUAAACUAGAAAAAGUGAAAUGACUUAGAUUGCACAGUGUUAGGUAACAUAUUUUGACGGUCCACACCGUACACACAGUAUACAGUUUGGCCGGUUCAGCCCUACAUACCUCUAACACGUCCCAAAAAGCUGUGUUCAAAUGGAAACAUUAACUGUUACAUUCUCUGUCCAGAUUACACAUCAAACUCGUUGUCCCAGACGAAUGGACAAGACUUAGUUGAGUCAGUCUUAACAGACAAUCUUCUGUUGAUUUGCAGAAGUGAAGUGAAUUAUCUGCAGUGGCACUUUUCUUGCGUUUACAGUUCAAAAUGCUAAUAUAAUAUCUAUAUACUGUAUUGUAAAAAUACCACAUGUACAAUAGUUCAGGCUGCUGCUUAAAUAUGUUAAUAUGGAAAUAUGUUACCUAUUUUUGAGAUCUUUACUGUGUACAGUUUUUAGCAUCAUCGUUGUAGAACAGUAUUAAAAGGCUGAGUUACCAUGAGUGUGUCUUGUCCCUAACUGUGUGUAUGAUCAUAAGAUGAUCUUGUUGUGUGGUGUUUGAGGACAUUCUUCCUUGUUGGAUUUGAUGUCGAACAAGGAAGUUUAGUAUAACAUUUUUAUCUUCCUCAUUCUUGGAGCGGCAAGUUUGGGCUUCGUUUAAUAACUUGGUGUGCCAGCGGGUUGACUUGACAUUUUGUUGUAUUUGUGAAAGGGCCAUUUUUAGGUACAUUUCUUAUUUCCCAUUGUGCCUCUCUCAUUCAUCAGGCAAACCUGCAAAACAAUAAAUGACGAGUCUGCGAGAUAAUGACAUCAAUGAAAGCGUACGGAAAGAGGUAUGUUUAGGCCACAUGGAUCUGGAGAGUCAGGGUUAGGCUGAUAGACUAUCCAGCUCCCGAGUGGCGGCUGUCGACUGCUGGAGAGCUGAGAAUGCCGUUCUCAGUAACAGUCAAGUACUGCAUCCUGGGCAUCUCGGUCGCUCUUCUUCUGCUGGC